rnacentral:rRNA from 1 species
CAGCAGCCGCGGUAAUACGUAGGUGGCAAGCGUUGUCCGGAAUUAUUGGGCGUAAAGGGCUCGCAGGCGGUUUCUUAAGUCUGAUGUGAAAGCCCCCGGCUCAACCGGGGAGGGUCAUUGGAAACUGGGAAACUUGAGUGCAGAAGAGGAGAGUGGAAUUCCACGUGUAGCGGUGAAAUGCGUAGAGAUGUGGAGGAACACCAGUGGCGAAGGCGACUCUCUGGUCUGUAACUGACGCUGAGGAGCGAGAGCGUGGGGAGCGAACAGGAUUAGAUACCCCUGUAGUCCCUGUCUCUUAUAC